rnacentral:rRNA from 1 species
AAAACACAAAGGAACGSGCGGGGCNMCGCACACSCGGUGGKGUAKKUGGUKUAAWKKGAUGCRACGCGMAGAMMSUUACSUGGUGGUGSMAUCCACUGAAGUUGWCAGAGAUGAGARKGUGCCUUCGGYAACSGYGMGACAGGGGSUGCAUGGYSGUCGUCAGCUCGUGUUGUGAAWKGUUGGGUUAAGUCCCGCAACGAGCGCAACCCUUAUCCUUUGUUGCCAGCGGUCCGGCCGGGAACUCAAAGGAGACUGCCAGUGAUAAACUGGAGGAAGGUGGGGAUGACGUCAAGUCAUCAUGGCCCUUACGACCAGGGCUACACACGUGCUACAAUGGCGCAUACAAAGAGAAGCGACCUCGCGAGAGCAAGCGGACCUCAUAAAGUGCGUCGUAGUCCGGAUUGGAGUCUGCAACUCGACUCCAUGAAGUCGGAAUCGCUAGUAAUCGUGGAUCAGAAUGCCACGGUGAAUACGUUCCCGGGCCUUGUACACACCGCCCGUCACACCAUGGGAGUGGGUUGCAAAAGAAGUAGGUAGCUUAACCUUCGGGAGGGCGCUUACCACUUUGUGAUUCAUGACUGGGGUGAAGUCGUAACAAGGUAACCGUAGGGGAACCUGCGGUUGGAUCACCUCCUUACCUUAAAGAAGC